UACAGAGACUGCAAGCGUUAUUCGGAUUCACUGGGCGUAAAGGGUGCGCAGGUGGCCAGGUGUGUGAGGCGUGAAAGCCCGGGGCUUAACCCCGGAAUUGCACCUCAAACUACUUGGCUAGAGCAUUGGAGAGGGGAGCAGAAUUCAUGGUGUAGCAGUGAAAUGCGUAGAUAUCAGGAGGAAUACCGAUGGCGAAGGCAGGUCUCUGGGCUGAGCACUGACGCUCAUGCACGAAAGCGUGGGGAGCAAACAGG
rnacentral:rRNA from 1 species